rnacentral:misc_RNA from 1 species
GUUAAAUUGAAGAGAGAAAAUGCUUGUGAAUCCUUUGCACAGACUUGGCAUAUAAUAUUAUAAUAUAAGAUGUGACACUAAUUAGUAACUCUAUAAAGUUGAUAGUAGCAAUCUCAAGUAGGGACCUUGUAAGAAGGGUCAACCAUUUUCAAAAUGAACAAGUUGCCAAGAUCACCUCUUGAUACCCUCAAUUCUUCAUCCAAGUAAGUAAUUUCAAGCUCGCCUUUAGCUCUUCCAGGAGCUUUAAUAGGUAUUAGUCCAGCAAUUUUGAAAUAAUCAAACUUUACUGCCACCUUUUGUGCAUUCAGCGGGGUCAAAUCUGCAGUAACCUGGUUGAAGAAGGGCCAUCCUUCCAUAUUCUGAGCCCGAAGUGUAUCUACAUUUAUUGCUUGAUAAUUCAAUCUAGAUCGCAAAAUCUUGGGUCUCUGAAUCUGUAAAAUAGACUUUGAUGUAGUGUAUAUAAGUUCCCAUUUUCCAUUAAGCAGAGUUGAGUU